CAGAGGGUGCGAGCGUUAAUCGGAAUUACUGGGCGUAAAGCGCGCGUAGGCGGCUUUGCAAGUCGGGUGUGAAAUCCCCAGGCUUAACCUGGGAACUGCAUUCGAGACUGCAUUGCUAGAGUGUGGGAGAGGGAAGUGGAAUUUCCGGUGUAGCGGUGAAAUGCGUAGAUAUCGGAAGGAACAUCAGUGGCGAAAGCGACUUCCUGGACCAAUACUGACGCUCAUGUGCGAAAGCGUGGGGAGCAAACAGGAUUAGAUACCCUGGUAGUCCACGCCAUAAACGAUGACAACUGGAUGUCGGGAGGGUCUGCCUCCCGGUGUCGUAGCUAACGCGUUAAGUUGUCCGCCUGGGGAGUACGGCCGCAAGGUUG
rnacentral:rRNA from 1 species